AAUAUUGCGCAAUGGAGGGAACUCUGACGCAGCGACGCCGCGUGAGCGAUGAAGGUCUUCGGAUCGUAAAGCUCUGUCCUUGGGGAAGAAGGUCUUCGGACUUGACGGUACCUAAGGAGGAAGCCCCGGCUAACUACGUGCCAGCAGCCGCGGUAAUACGUAGGGGGCAAGCGUUAUCCGGAAUCAUUGGGCGUAAAGGGUGCGUAGGUGGUCAAUAAAGUCAGAGGUGAAAGGCUAGGGCUCAACCGUAGUAAGCCUUUGAAACUUAUUGACUUGAGUGCAGGAGAGGAGAGUGGAAUUCCUAGUGUAGCGGUGAAAUGCGUAGAUAUUAGGAGGAACACCAGUGGCGAAGGCGACUCUCUGGACUGUAACUGACGCUGAGGCACGAAAGCGUGGGUAGCGAACA
rnacentral:rRNA from 1 species